UUCCGGUUGAUCCUGCCGGACCUGACUGCUAUCGGAUUGAUACUAAGCCAUGCGAGUCUUUGCAGUAAUGCAAGGCAUACGGCUCAGUAACACGUAGUCAACUUACCCUAUGGACGAGGAUAAUCUCGGGAAACUGAGCAUAAUACUCGAUAGAUCAUAAUGCCUGGAAUGGUUUAUGGUUGAAAUGAUUCGUCGCCAUAGGAUGGGACUGCGGCCUAUCAGCUUGUUGGUGAGGUAAUGGCCCACCAAGGCGAUUACAGGUACGGGCUCUGAGAGGAGAAGCCCGGAGAUGGGUACUGAGACAAGGACCCAGGCCCUAUGGGGCGCAGCAGGCGAGAAAACUUUGCAAUGUGCGAAAGCACGACAAGGUUAAUCCGAGUGAUUUCUGCUAAAGAAAUCUUUUGCAAGUCAUAAAACCACUAGUGAAUAAGGGGUGGGCAAGUUCUGGUGUCAGCCGCCGCGGUAAAACCAGCACCUCAAGUGGUCAGGAGGAUUAUUGGGCCUAAAGCAUCCGUAGCCGGCUCUGUAAGUUUUCGGUUAAAUCCAUGUGCUCAACGCAUGGGCUGCCGAAAAUACUGCAUAGCUAGGGAGUGGGAGAGGUAGACGGUACUCAGUAGGAAGGGGUAAAAUCCUUUGAUCUAUUGAUGACCACCUGUGGCGAAGGCGGUCUACCAGAACACGUUCGACGGUGAGGGAUGAAAGCUGGGGGAGCAAACCGGAUUAGAUACCCGGGUAGUCCCAGCUGUAAACGAUGCAGACUCGAUGAUGCAUUGGCAUAUAGCCAGUGCAGUGUCGCAGGGAAGCCGUUAAGUCUGCCGCCUGGGAAGUACGUACGCAAGUAUGAAACUUAAAGGAAUUGGCGGGGGAGCACCACAAGGGGUGAAGCCUGCGGUUCAAUUGGAGUCAACGCCGG
rnacentral:rRNA from 1 species